CAGGAAAGCCAAAUUUAUUGUAAAACCU
rnacentral:piRNA from 1 species